UACGUAGGGUGCGAGCGUUGUCCGGAGUUACUGGGCGUAAAGGGUGCGUAGGCGGCUUUUUAAGUUUGGUGUGAAAUCUCCCGGCUCAACUGGGAGGGUGCGCCGAAUACUGAGAGGCUAGAGUGUGGGAGAGGAAAGUGGAAUUCCUGGUGUAGCGGUGAAAUGCGUAGAUAUCAGGAGGAACACCGGUGGUGUAAACGGCUUUCUGGACCAUAACUGACGCUGAGGCACGAAAGCGUGGGUAGCAAACAGG
rnacentral:rRNA from 1 species